rnacentral:rRNA from 1 species
CCUACGGGCGGCAGCAGUGGGGAAUAUUGCACAAUGGGGGAAACCCUGAUGCAGCGACGCCGCGUGAGUGAAGAAGUAUUUCGGUAUGUAAAGCUCUAUCAGCAGGGAAGAAGCAAGACGGUACCUGACUAAGAAGCGCCGGCUAACUACGUGCCAGCAGCCGCGGUAAUACGUAAGGGGCAAGCGUUAGCCGGAUUUACUGGGUGGAAAGGGAGCGUAGACGGUAUGGCAAGUCUGAAGUGAAAGCACAGGGCUUAACCCUGGGACUGCUUUGGAAACUGUUAGACUAGAGUGCUGGAAAGGUAAGUGGAAUUCCUAGUGUAGCGGUGAAAUGCGUAGAUAUUAGGAGGAACACCAGUGGCGAAGGCGGCUUACUGGACAGUAACUGACGUUGAGGCUCGAAAGCGUGGGGAGCAAACAGGAUUAGAUACCCUUGUAGUC